ACAUGUUGGGUACCUAUCUGUCAAAACGUACUGAUUUUUCCUUUGUUGACAUUUAGUGCCCUAUCCUCGCCAGCAAAAGAUGUUUCGCCAGUGACGACAGCGACAAGCGUCCUCUAUAGUUUAUUACCUCUAUUUUUUAAUCACAAAAUUUCAAGAGAUUUGUAUUGACACGAAAUCGCUCCUCCAAACCACAAAUUCAGGCAAUCCAACUAAACGACUCAGUGGAGACAACCAGACCUGCAAAACUGAAGACAUAUUAAUCCUAGUGAUAAUGCCAGUGAAAGUGGAUCCCGUAGUAGCAAUAGCACUAACGACGAAGGUAUUGUGUUGGAGAGCUGAUUUAUUGGACCGCGGAACAACAAAGUACAAAGAGAAAUAUCAUCACAAACGAAGUGCUGGUGGUCGAUUACACUCUUGCGGAGAUAAUGAAGAAAGUGUCGAACCGGCCGGAAGCACAGCGCGAACAGUGGCCAACAUCUGUGACUUGCGGGGCGUAAUCUAUGAAUACAGGAUCGGUCUGUAUGACUCCCAUUAUUCGGUCAUAUGAUGACAAACAAACUGAUUUUCCAAAUAGCAUUGAGAAAGUUCAUAUCAAGUACGUAUUAUAAUUUGUGAUAAUAUCUCAUUAAUGUUAAGGAUAAUGAUAUGGAUGAUUUCUAAUAAAAGACAAAAGUUAAG